AUGGAGGCUCAUCGACAUGUGGGAGCAGUCGACGGCGUGGGGCGGAAGCGGAGUUGCGUUGGAGGUACGUUCUGUGGCUGUCAUCGAGAUCCAUCGGCGAGGGUGGACCCUGCAACGGGAUUGCUCUAUGUGCGAUGUUGGAGUGGAUUGGGCGGUCUUGUGGUGGUCGACGAGGAGCUUGUUAUCUGGCUACAUCGUCCGGGGAAAUUUGUCGGUGGUAAAGGCAAUGAGAUUUAA